GAUGAACGCUGGCGGCGUGCCUAAUACAUGCAAGUCGAACGCUUUGUGGUUCAACUGAUUUGAAGAGCUUGCUCAGAUAUGACGAUGGACAUUGCAAAGAGUGGCGAACGGGUGAGUAACACGUGGGAAACCUACCUCUUAGCAGGGGAUAACAUUUGGAAACAGAUGCUAAUACCGUAUAACAAUGACAACCGCAUGGUUGUUAUUUAAAAGAUGGUUCUGCUAUCACUAAGAGAUGGUCCCGCGGUGCAUUAGCUAGUUGGUAAGGUAAUGGCUUACCAAGGCGAUGAUGCAUAGCCGAGUUGAGAGACUGAUCGGCCACAAUGGGACUGAGACACGGCCCAUACUCCUACGGGAGGCAGCAGUAGGGAAUCUUCCACAAUGGGCGAAAGCCUGAUGGAGCAACGCCGCGUGUGUGAUGAAGGGUUUCGGCUCGCAAAACACUGUUGUAAGAGAAGAAUGACAUUGAGAGUAACUGUUCAAUGUGUGACGGUAUCUUACCAGAAAGGAACGGCUAAAUACGUGCCAGCAGCCGCGGUAAUACGUAUGUUCCAAGCGUUAUCCGGAUUUAUUGGGCGUAAAGCGAGCGCAGACGGUUAUUUAAGUCUGAAGUGAAAGCCCUCAGCUCAACUGAGGAAUUGCUUUGGAAACUGGAUGACUUGAGUGCAGUAGAGGAAAGUGGAACUCCAUGUGUAGCGGUGAAAUGCGUAGAUAUAUGGAAGAACACCAGUGGCGAAGGCGGCUUUCUGGACUGUAACUGACGUUGAGGCUCGAAAGUGUGGGUAGCAAACAGGAUUAGAUACCCUGUAGUCCACACCGUAAACGAUGAGUGCUAGGUGUUUGAGGGUUUCCGCCCUUAAGUGCCGCAGCUAACGCAUUAAGCACUCCGCCUGGGGAGUACGACCGCAAGGUUGAAACUCAAAGGAAUUGACGGGGACCCGCACAAGCGGUGGAGCAUGUGGUUUAAUUCGAAGCAACGCGAAGAACCUUACCAGGUCUUGACAUCCCUUGACAACUCCAGAGAUGGAGCGUUCCCUUCGGGGACAAGGUGACAGGUGGUGCAUGGUUGUCGUCAGCUCGUGUCGUGAGAUGUUGGGUUAAGUCCCGCAACGAGCGCAACCCUUAUUACUAGUUGCCAGCAUUCAGUUGGGCACUCUAGUGAGACUGCCGGUGACAAACCGGAGGAAGGUGGGGAUGACGUCAAAUCAUCAUGCCCCUUAUGACCUGGGCUACACACGUGCUACAAUGGCGUAUACAACGAGUUGCCAACCCGCGAGGGUGAGCUAAUCUCUUAAAGUACGUCUCAGUUCGGAUUGUAGGCUGCAACUCGCCUACAUGAAGUCGGAAUCGCUAGUAAUCGCGGAUCAGCACGCCGCGGUGAAUACGUUCCCGGGUCUUGUACACACCGCCCGUCACACCAUGAGAGUUUGUAACACCCAAAGCCGGUGGGGUAACCUUCGGGAGCCAGCCGUCUAAGGUGGGACAGAUGAUUAGGGUG
rnacentral:rRNA from 1 species